AGAGUUUGAUCCUGGCUCAGAACGAACGCUGGUGGCGUGUCUUAUACAUGCAAGUCGAGCGAGGUAGCAAUACCUAGCGGCGAACGGGUGAGUAACGCGUAAGCAAUCUGCCCCACAUCAGGAAAUACCCGUGCCAACGCGCGGUUAAUGUCCAGGAGGGCGGCCUCCCGCAUGGGAGGUUGGCCAGAGAUUUAUCGGUGUGGGAUGAGCUUGCGUCCGAUUAGCUAGUUGGCGGUGCAACGGACCACCAAGGCGACGAUCGGUAGCCGGCCUGAGAGGGUGAUCGGCCACAUUGGGACUGAGAUACGGCCCAGACUCCUACGGGAGGCAGCAGUAGGGAAUAUUGCACAAUGGGGGAAACCCUGAUGCAGCAGCGCCACGUGUGGGAAGAAGCAUUUCGGUGUGUAAACCACUGUCGUGAGGGAAUAAUGUUGCGUUCCGGCGCAAUUGAAUGUACCUCGAAAGGAAGCACCGGCAAACUUCGUGCCAGCAGCCGCGGUAAUACGAGGGGUGCAAGCGCUGUUCGGAAUCACUGGGCGUAAAGGGAGCGUAGGCGGAGGAGCAAGCAGUCUGUACAAUCCCGGGGCCUAACCCCGGCUCUGCAGACUGGACUGUUUCUCUUGGAUAGUUCAGGGGCAGGCGGAAUUCCUGGUGUAGCGGUGGAAUGCGUAGAGAUCAGGAAGAACACCGAUGGCGAAGGCAGCCUGCUGGGGACUUAUCGACGCUGAGGCUCGAAAGUGCGGGUAGCAAACAGGAUUAGAUACCCUGGUAGUCCGCACUGUAAACGAUGCAUACUGGGUGUCCGGGGGUUCCCCCCGGGUACCGGAGCCAACG
rnacentral:rRNA from 1 species